GAUUCGUUAACGUAGUGGUUAACGUACCUGCUUUUUAAAACGGGAGGUCGUAAGUUUAAAUCUCACACAGUCCU